UUGAUUUCAUUUGAAAACUUGACAGUACAAAUGAAGUAGAUUUUUUUGGUUGUAUUGCUGCUGCUGUUAAUCACCUGAUCUUUGUGAAUGUAUGCUACUAAAUGUUCCAUUGUAUCAUCAUAAUGUCGGGUAUCUGCACGUGCAGUGCACUUUUACGGCACUGAGAUGUUGUCCUCUGCAUAAUAUAGUACUAUAAAAGGAUGUGCAUUCUGUUGCGCCGCUUGUCAACCAGAUAUUCUGAGGAGAACAUUGGUUCCCAGACCCAGAGGAAAAUACCCUUUUUAUGUUGGAAAAUAUGGUUAAGCUUUUACCGCACACCUGCAUUCAGCUAUGUGCUCCACGGAGUAGGUAAAAAGUAGAUUAGCUCUUAUGUUUGUGCUCUUCAUAUGACUUUGGCUCAUUUCUCUUUAGCUCUUUAUAUCUCAUUUCUUGCUUGUUAAUUGAAUCUCAUUACCUUGUAGAUAGAUCUUUUAGCCUUGUGAUUUGGGUAGGUUAGCCUUUUUGUGAAUAAAUAACAUAGAGACUUUCUUCAAAUCAAACAAAGUUUUUUAACAGAUAUGCUACUUCAGGAAAACUGAAAGUAAUGUAAUGCUGCUUUCAUUCUCUACCUUUUGGUUCCUUUCUGAGAUUUUUUCCUGUUGUGCUCCAAACACAUUAAAAAGUUAUUUUCUUACAGAUGGGGCUAUCCUUAAGGACCUUCACACAAAAUACCAAUGCAAUACCUGUGAACUCUGAUAUCAACAGAAAGCUGAAUGUCCCUCCCUGGCUGCAUACUCCCUACUGGCAUUCGUCUAUUUAUCCCUUUCAUAUUUGUAUUUGCACUCUCUGUGCAGGCUUAGCUGUUUGGAAUCUGGUUUUGUGGUAGCUACAAUAUUGUCCAUUUUAUUGUUAUUUAUCCUUUUUGAUGCUUACCUUUCCGUCUUAGUUUUGCUGGUUACCGCCCCUAAUAGUCAUAUUGAACUAUAUUACUGUGUACUAUUGUUUUUGCUUCCUUGCGAUCAUGAUUUUACCCGGAUUAUCUUAUCAUUUAGGCAUGAUUCUUGUGUGGU
rnacentral:lncRNA from 1 species